GUCUGCCACACGAGCCGCCGCUGCUCCUCCCCCUCCUUCUCCCCGGCCUCCCCGCCCUCGCGUCUCCUCCUCCCCCUCGAUCUGCACGCUGCCGUCCUCUGCCACUCGCCCCACGUGGAGCUUGCGCAGGGCGUUGAGGAGCGCGGCGCGUGGCACGGGCCGGGUGAUGUUGGGCCGGGCCUGGAGGUGCAGCAUGUUGAGGAUGUGCCUCUUCACCGCCUCCACCACGUCCUGCUGAGCCUCCUCCUCCCGGUCGUGUCCCGCCACGUCGUCCGCGUCCCCUUCGUUUCUCCUCAUCCUGGCCAGGGCGCAGGAGGGGCAGUGGGAGCUGGAGGCGACGUCCGGCAGCGGCUGGUGGUGAGGAUGGACGGUCAGUGACAGAGGUCUGGACGCCGGGUCUGAGGAGGAGCCGCAGCUCUGGACCAGGAGCAGGACGGUCCAGCUCAGCAGAGGGACAGAUGGCUGGAAAAUGUGGAGGCGUCACAAGAAAGAAAGAAAGAAGAAAACAAAACAAGAAGAAGAAGAAAAAACUCUCGGAUGUGAUGAAUGGAUGAUGGAAAAGCGGAGAAGGAAAACUCUGGCUUGCAGGAGGAUCCUUGUUCCCGGGGUGAAGCCGCUGCAGAGUGUGUGUUCAGAGUGUGUGUGUGUGUGUGUUAAAGAGGCAGUUUGACUAAGUUAUCCCAGACGAAGGAGUUCCUCCCUCUCUCUUUUUUUUUUACCUCUUUUCCUCUCUCUCUCUCUCUGUGUUGAAUGCCUUCCCUCGCUCACCAGUUGAAUGGUUUUACCGGAGUGGGCUGGACUCUCUCUCUCUCCUCUCUCUCGCACUGGCAGCCUCCUACCAUAAUUAUACCUCCCUCCCUCCUCCCUCAUCCCUCUCUCUCCUCCCAUCUCGCUUUGUGACUCAUAACUUUUGCCUCCUUCUCUUUCUUUAUUUAUUUCUUCCCUCCCUCUGUUUGGCUGUUAAUGGAGCAAAGCUGGGAUUCCUUUAGCCCUCCCUCCCCCCUCGGCGGUGAAUGAGUUACGUGUUGAAGGGAAAAUUCUUGGAUGACUUGGAUUUAGCCUGUGACUCUCCUGUCCAUCUGUCUGACUACCUAUCAGUCAGUCAGUCUGUCUGACAGUCUGGAUUUGUGUAGUCUGGUUGCCGUUCAGCUCCUGUCAACAUGACAUCAUGGUUCAUGACUGUGCGGUCUCGCCAUGUUGCAUUGUGAGUAGGGGAUUCCUGCACAGGUCGCCGAUUCAGAUAACAGCUAUCUCUUGUUUUCGUCUUUGUUUUCUUUGUUUUGCUGACCUUGUUCAGCUCUUUAUCUUUGUGAUAAACAUUUUUGAGCUUUGGGCGUUCAUUCUCUCUCAAUAGAGAACCCACAUGAAACCAGAACGUCCAGGUUCUCUUCCAGAAGUAAGAUGACCUUUGUAACAAACGAUAAUUACAAAAAACAGUAUGUUGUUCUGACUUGGUUCAUACACACAAUCUACUAUUAUUGUAAAAUUAACGGCCUUUAACAAACACCAUGUCCCUCAAGCCCUGGACCUAAACACUCAAUAAAAGGACAGACACGGCUGAA